rnacentral:rRNA from 1 species
GACAGAGGGUGCAAACGUUGUUCGGAAUUACUGGGCGUAAAGCGCGUGUAGGCGGUCUCGUAAGUCGGGUGUGAAAGCCCUGGGCUCAACCCAGGAAGUGCACUCGAAACUACAGGGCUAGAGUUCUGGAGAGGAAGGUGGAAUGCUUGGUGUAGAGGUGAAAUUCAUAGAUAUCAAGCGGAACACCGGUGGCGAAGGCGGCCUUCUGGACAGUAACUGACGCUGAGACGCGAAAGCGUGGGGAGCAAACAGG